AACGCGAAGAACCUUACCUGGGCUCGAAAUGUUAUGGACCGGAGUAGAAAUAUUCCUUUCCCGCAAGGGACCGUAAUAUAGGUGCUGCAUGGCUGUCGUCAGCUCGUGUCGUGAGAUGUUGGGUUAAGUCCCGCAACGAGCGCAACCCUUAUCUUCAGUUGCUACCAUUUAGUUGAGCACUCUGACGAAACCGCCUCGGAUAACGGGGAGGAAGGUGGGGAUGACGUCAAGUCCUCAUGGCCUUUAUGUCCAGGGCUACACACGUGCUACAAUGGCCGGUACAAACCGUCGCAAACCCGUGAGGGGGAGCUAAUCGGAAAAAGCCGGCCUCAGUUCGGAUUGGAGUCUGCAACUCGACUCCAUGAAGCUGGAAUCGCUAGUAAUCGCGGAUCAGAAUGCCGCGGUGAAUACGUUCCCGGGCCUUGUACACACCGUAGUAC
rnacentral:rRNA from 1 species